rnacentral:rRNA from 2 species
UUGACCUCAACUCAGUCGUGAUUACCCGCU